rnacentral:pre_miRNA from 1 species
UAACUACUCCCUCUGUCCCAAAUUUCUUGUCUUAGAUUUGUCAAGAUACGUAUGUAUCUAAUACUAAAAUGUGACUUGAUACAUCCGUAUCUAGAAAAAUCUAAGACAAGAAUUUUGGGACGGAGGGAGUACUUU